GGUUUAAUUACCCAAGUUUGAGCAGUGGUA
rnacentral:misc_RNA from 1 species